UCUCAGAAUCAGUUAGCCAAUAAGCACGCAGCAUGCUUCUACCAAGAUCCAAUAAUGCUGCUGAUUGGCUGUCCAAUGUUACACGUCGUAGAGACACAGGAAAAAACCCUCC